UUAAGCGACUAAGCGUACACGGUGGAUGCCCUGGCAGUCAGAGGCGAUGAAGGGCGUGCUAAUCUGCGAUAAGCGCCGGUAAGGUGAUAUGAACCGUUAUAACCGGCGAUACCCGAAUGGGGAAACCCAGUGUGACUCGUCACACUAUCAUUAACUGAAUCCAUAGGUUAAUGAGGCGAACCGGGGGAACUGAAACAUCUAAGUACCCCGAGGAAAAGAAAUCAACCGAGAUUCCCCCAGUAGCGGCGAGCGAACGGGGAGGAGCCCAGAGCCUGAAUCAGCAUGUGUGUUAGUGGAAGCGUCUGGAAAGGCGCGCGAUACAGGGUGACAGCCCCGUACACAAAAGCGCAUGUGCUGUGAGCUCGAUGAGUAGGGCGGGACACGUGGUAUCCUGUCUGAAUAUGGGGGGACCAUCCUCCAAGGCUAAAUACUCCUGACUGACCGAUAGUGAACCAGUACCGUGAGGGAAAGGCGAAAAGAACCCCGGCGAGGGGAGUGAAAAAGAACCUGAAACCGUGUACGUACAAGCAGUGGGAGCCCCACCACUAAGCCAGUGGUGAACUCCACAUACGCAUCCUUUGCUGAGGAUACGGUUAACGGAGCGAAAGCGACGUUCAACCUCAAAAGAAGCAGAGGGGGCUUAGUGGUGGGGUGACUGCGUACCUUUUGUAUAAUGGGUCAGCGACUUAUAUUCUGUAGCAAGGUUAACCGAAUAGGGGAGCCGGAGGGAAACCGAGUCUUAAUUGGGCGUUAAGUUGCAGGGUAUAGACCCGAAACCCGGUGAUCUAGCCAUGGGCAGGUUGAAGGUUGGGUAACACUAACUGGAGGACCGAACCGACUAAUGUUGAAAAAUUAGCGGAUGACCUGUGGCUGGGGGUGAAAGGCCAAUCAAACCGGGAGAUAGCUGGUUCUCCCCGAAAGCUAUUUAGGUAGCGCCUCGUGAAUUCAUCUCCGGGGGUAGAGCACUGUUUCGGCUAGGGGGCCAUCCCGGCUUACCAACCCGAUGCAAACUGCGAAUACCGGAGAAUGUUAUCACGGGAGACACACGGCGGGUGCUAACGUCCGUCGUGAAGAGGGAAACAACCCAGACCGCCAGCUAAGGUCCCAAAGUCAUGGUUAAGUGGGAAACGAUGUGGGAAGGCCCAGACAGCCAGGAUGUUGGCUUAGAAGCAGCCAUCAUUUAAAGAAAGCGUAAUAGCUCACUGGUCGAGUCGGCCUGCGCGGAAGAUGUAACGGGGCUAAACCAUGCACCGAAGCUGCGGCAGCGACACUGUGUGUUGUUGGGUAGGGGAGCGUUCUGUAAGCCUGUGAAGGUGGCCUGUGAGGGUUGCUGGAGGUAUCAGAAGUGCGAAUGCUGACAUAAGUAACGAUAAAGCGGGUGAAAAGCCCGCUCGCCGGAAGACCAAGGGUUCCUGUCCAACGUUAAUCGGGGCAGGGUGAGUCGACCCCUAAGGCGAGGCCGAAAGGCGUAGUCGAUGGGAAACGGGUUAAUAUUCCCGUACUUGGUGUUACUGCGAAGGGGGGACGGAGAAGGCUAUGUUGGCCGGGCGACGGUUGUCCCGGUUUAAGCGUGUAGGCUGGUUUUCCAGGCAAAUCCGGAAAAUCAAGGCUGAGGCGUGACGACGAGGCACUACGGUGCUGAAGCAACAAAUGCCCUGCUUCCAGGAAAAGCCUCUAAGCAUCAGGUAACAUCAAAUCGUACCCCAAACCGACACAGGUGGUCAGGUAGAGAAUACCAAGGCGCUUGAGAGAACUCGGGUGAAGGAACUAGGCAAAAUGGUGCCGUAACUUCGGGAGAAGGCACGCUGACACGUAGGUGAAGUGAUUUACUCAUGGAGCUGAAGUCAGUCGAAGAUACCAGCUGGCUGCAACUGUUUAUUAAAAACACAGCACUGUGCAAACACGAAAGUGGACGUAUACGGUGUGACGCCUGCCCGGUGCCGGAAGGUUAAUUGAUGGGGUCAGCGCAAGCGAAGCUCCUGAUCGAAGCCCCGGUAAACGGCGGCCGUAACUAUAACGGUCCUAAGGUAGCGAAAUUCCUUGUCGGGUAAGUUCCGACCUGCACGAAUGGCGUAAUGAUGGCCAGGCUGUCUCCACCCGAGACUCAGUGAAAUUGAACUCGCUGUGAAGAUGCAGUGUACCCGCGGCAAGACGGAAAGACCCCGUGAACCUUUACUAUAGCUUGACACUGAACAUUGAGCCUUGAUGUGUAGGAUAGGUGGGAGGCUUUGAAGUGUGGACGCCAGUCUGCAUGGAGCCGACCUUGAAAUACCACCCUUUAAUGUUUGAUGUUCUAACGUGGACCCGUAAUCCGGGUUGCGGACAGUGUCUGGUGGGUAGUUUGACUGGGGCGGUCUCCUCCUAAAGAGUAACGGAGGAGCACGAAGGUUGGCUAAUCCUGGUCGGACAUCAGGAGGUUAGUGCAAUGGCAUAAGCCAGCUUGACUGCGAGCGUGACGGCGCGAGCAGGUGCGAAAGCAGGUCAUAGUGAUCCGGUGGUUCUGAAUGGAAGGGCCAUCGCUCAACGGAUAAAAGGUACUCCGGGGAUAACAGGCUGAUACCGCCCAAGAGUUCAUAUCGACGGCGGUGUUUGGCACCUCGAUGUCGGCUCAUCACAUCCUGGGGCUGAAGUAGGUCCCAAGGGUAUGGCUGUUCGCCAUUUAAAGUGGUACGCGAGCUGGGUUUAGAACGUCGUGAGACAGUUCGGUCCCUAUCUGCCGUGGGCGCUGGAGAACUGAGGGGGGCUGCUCCUAGUACGAGAGGACCGGAGUGGACGCAUCACUGGUGUUCGGGUUGUCAUGCCAAUGGCACUGCCCGGUAGCUAAAUGCGGAAGAGAUAAGUGCUGAAAGCAUCUAAGCACGAAACUUGCCCCGAGAUGAGUUCUCCCUGAGACUUAGAGUCUCCUGAAGGAACGUUGAAGACGACGACGUUGAUAGGCCGGGUGUGUAAGCGCAGCGAUGCGUUGAGCUAACCGGUACUAAUGAACCGUGAGGCUUAACCUU
rnacentral:rRNA from 1 species